rnacentral:rRNA from 1 species
UAGGGAAUCUUCGGCAAUGGGGGCAACCCUGACCGAGCAACGCCGCGUGAGUGAAGAAGGUUUUCGGAUCGUAAAGCUCUGUUGUAAGAGAAGAACGUGUGUGAGAGUGGAAAGUUCACACAGUGACGGUAACUUACCAGAAAGGGACGGCUAACUACGUGCCAGCAGCCGCGGUAAUACGUAGGGCGCGAGCGUUGUCCGGAAUUAUUGGGCGUAAAGGGCUUGUAGGUGGCUGGUUGCGUCUGUCGUGAAAGCUCAUGGCUUAACUGUGGGUUUGCGGUGGGUACGGGCUGGCUUGAGUGCAGUAGGGGAGGCUGGAAUUCCUGGUGUAGCGGUGGAAUGCGCAGAUAUCAGGAGGAAUACCGGUGGCGAAGGCGGGUCUCUGGGCUGUUACUGACACUGAGGAGCGAAAGCAUGGGGAGCGAACAGG